rnacentral:rRNA from 1 species
UGGGGUAAUGGCCCACCAAGCCGAUGAUCGGUACGGGUUGUGAGAGCAAGGGCCCGGAGAUGGAACCUGAGACAAGGUUCCAGACCCUACGGGGUGCAGCAGGCGCGAAACCUCCGCAAUGUACGAAAGUGCGACGGGGGGAUCCCAAGUGUUAUGCUUUUUUGUAUGACUUUUCAUUAGUGUAAAAAGCUUUUAGAAUAAGAGCUGGGCAAGACCGGUGCCAGCCGCCGCGGUAACACCGGCAGCUCGAGUGGUAGCUGUUUUUAUUGGGCCUAAAGCGUUCGUAGCCGGUUUGAUAAGUCUUUGGUGAAAGCUUGUAGCUUAACUAUAAGAAUUGCUGGAGAUACUAUUAGACUUGAAGUCGGGAGAGGUUAGAGGUACUACCGGGGUAGGGGUGAAAUCCUAUAAUCCUGGGAGGACCACCUGUGGCGAAGGCGUCUAACUGGAACGAUCUUGACGGUGAGUAACGAAAGCCAGGGGCGCGAACCGGAUUAGAUACCCGGGUAGUCCUGGCCGUAAACGAUGUGGACUUGGUGUUGGAAUGGCUUUGAGUUGUUCCGGUGCCGAAGGGAAGCUGUUAAGUCCACCGCCUGGGAAGUACGGUCGCAAGACUGAAACUUAA